rnacentral:rRNA from 1 species
AACGAACGCUGGCGGCAUGCCUAACACAUGCAAGUCGAACGAGACCUUCGGGUCUAGCGGCGCACGGGUGAGUAACGCGUGGGAACGUGCCCUUGUGUUCGGAAUAACACCGGGAAACGACUGCUAAUACCGGAUACGCCCGUAGGUGGAAAGAUUUAUCGCCGAGGGAUGAGCCCGCGUUGGAUUAGGUAGUUGGUGGGGUAAAGGCCUACCAAGGCGACGAUCCUUAGCUGGUCUGAGAGGAUGAUCAGCCACACUGGGACUGAGACACGGCCCAGACUCCUACGGGAGGCAGCAGUGGGGAAUAUUAGACAAUGGGCGAAAGCCUGAUCCAGCAAUGCCGCGUGAGUGAUGAAGGCCUUAGGGUUGUAAAGCUCUUUUACCUGGGAUGAUAAUGACAGUACCAGGAGAAGAAGCCCCGGCUAACUCCGUG